rnacentral:rRNA from 1 species
GAUGAACGCUAGCUACAGUCUUAACACAUGCAAGUCGAGCGACCGGCGCGCGGGUGAGUAACACGUAUCCAACCUGCCCUUUACUCGGGGAUAGCCCUUCGAAAGAAAGUAUAAUACCCGAUAUAAAGGAUGGGGAUGCGUUCCAUUAGGUUGUUGGUGAGGUAACGGCUCACCAAGACUUCGAUGGGUUGGGGUUCUGAGUGGACGGUCCACCUGAUUGGAACUAAGGCACAGUCCAAACUCCUACGGGAGAGAGCGGUAGGGAAGAGUGGUAAAGGGGCGCUAGCCUGCACCAGCCGAGUAGCGUAAAAAAGGAAGGGUUAUUGAUCUUAAACUUCUUUUGUGUAAGGAUAUGUAUUAUAUGAAUAAGCAUCGGCUAACGCCGUGCCAGCAGCCGCGGUAAUUU